GACGAACGCUGGCGGCGUGCUUAACACAUGCAAGUCGAACGAAGUGGCGAACGGGUGAGUAAUACGUGAGUAACCUGCCCUCCUUUUUGGGAUAAGCCUUGGAAACGGGGUCUAAUACCGAAUAAAGGGGGAUGGGCUCGCGGCCUUUCGGCGUGGUGGUGGGGUGAUGGGCUACGAAGGCGGUGACGGGUUGCGGGCCUGAGAGGGUGACCUGCCACAGUGAGACUGGUAUGCGGCCCAGAGUAGUACGGAGGGGGGCAUUGGGGGAUAUUGCACAAAGGGUGAAAGCCUAAUGCAGCGACGCCGAGUGGGGGCUUAGGGCUUUAGAGUUGUGAAACUCGUUCGGUAUCGAACGGGUAGGUGGAGAGGAAGCGCCGGCUAACUACGUGCCAGCAGCCGCGGUAAUAC
rnacentral:rRNA from 1 species